AUGAUUAGUGACUCAGGUUAACACUAAACUUUAAACAGUCCCUCUGUGUCUCUGUGUGUGCUGAACAUCUGGAAUCAGAUUGAGUCAGGCUACAUCAGCUGAAUCUGUUAUUUGUAAAUAUCAAUAUUUUUUAUUCAGGUGUGGGGAUAAUAUGUAAGACUGCAGUGAAGCGAUGUACCAGAUUAAUCCCUGGCCAAAGAACAGUUCUCCACAGUCACUGUCCACAUGGGUCAGUGGGACCAAGCAGCACUCUGCUAAUGUGUGGACUCUGACCAGCAACAUCCAGCAAGACCCAAGCAGCGUUUUCUAUCUCCCAGCUGGAGCUUUUUGUUUGUCUGUGACUGGAGAGUCAGAUUUUUGUUGAAGCUGGAGGAACAGAGAGGUUAAUACACACUACUGAGCAAAGAAGCCUGGUGGAUGUUUGUUUGCAGUCUGAUGAUGGGACAUCAUGCUCUGCAUCUUCAAAGUUUGUCUCUUGAUUAUUAUUCAUACACAGUAAUGUGAAUUAUGCUUAUAUCUAGUAUAACUGGACCAACGUGGUGCUCUUCAUUUAUGGAGGCUGUUGAGUCUGAAUGUUGGAUGUUGUGUGUCUCAUGUUCUCUGGGCUUUGUUGUCCUCAGUCUUUUUGCAGGAUCAGAAAACAAAACCAGGAUGACCAUAAAUGUUUCUUCUCCAAUUGGAUGAUGAUAAGACCGUGACACGGAAUGCCACCUUUAGUCUUGUGAUGAAGCAAAGCUCAGGAAGAAGUGUGAUUAAAUGGUACCCACAUGUGUGCUGCUGAGAAGGAUGUACAGGGGCACCUGCAGCCAAAUCCAAGCCUCCUCACAGCAGAGCAGCAGUUUGUGCUCACAGAUGGUGACGGUGUGGAGAGACGGUGGUGUUUCCUCAGAAGAACCAGCAGAGUCACAAAGGGCACGAGUCCAUCUCACCACCUUGACUUGUUGAUCAGUGGAUACACUUGUCUCCCCUUUAAAGGAGAUACUCUUAGAGAGCAACGAUCUGAGUCAUCCUUAAAUAUGGGCAGGAUAUCAGUCUUGGACUGUCUAACCUGCCGGAGCAGCACUGAAUGACCACCACACAUGAUCAGUUCCUGCAACAUUCAGCAGCUCUGCUUUUGUGUCAAAUGUCCAACAGCUGGAGAGGAAACUACACCAGUGUACUGGGAUGUUUCACCAACACGUGCCAGACGCUGUUCCUUCAUGGUGACAUCACUAGAGACGGCCCCGCCCACCUCAGGACCUCGCCAUUGAUCAUGAUGAUUUUAAUGAUGACAGCGAGCGAAACUAAGACUGUAAAAAUCAGAAUGUUUAGAUGCUUUCUAAUUAUUAAUGAAUACUGAGAGCCUCUUUCUGUUUUGUCUGUUUGUUUGUUUUUACCUGAUUUGUUACUAACAAAGUUCACCAAACUCACACAGUUUACAUUCUGUAUGUUUCCAUCUUUACCAGCCACAGGCUAACUGCAUUUAGAAAACAAACCUUAGAAAUCGUCGUUUUUCUCUUUUGUAAUUUUGUAAUUCAGUGAAUAUACUGCGCUGCUUCCUUUUAUUGCGUCUCACAUUGCUUUAAGUUUUUCAGUGUCCAGUUAUCUUUUACUGCUGUUUGAAUUCUCUGCAUGUUUGACCCUGUAGACUGUUUGAUGGACUGCUUGUCUGCCUGUUUGUAACCGACGCCUGUUUUUGACUAAAGAUUUGGAUUUCUGACUUUAA